ACGUAGGGUGCGAGCGUUAAUCGGAAUUACUGGGCGUAAAGCGCGCGUAGGCGGUUUUGUAAGUCAGAGGUGAAAUCCCCGGGCUCAACCUGGGGACUGCCUUUGUAACUGGAAAUCUGGAGUGCGGGAGAGGGGGGUGGAAUUCCGCGUGUAGCGGUGAAAUGCGUAGAUAUUAGGAGGAACACCGGUGGCGAAGGCAACCCUCUGGACUUGUACUGACGCUGAGGCGCGAAAGCGUGGGUAGCAAACAG
rnacentral:rRNA from 1 species